CAGGAGGAGGCGGAGGAUGGGAAACAUCGUGGGAGGCCCCAUGUUGGUCAUGAUGAUGACUAGUGUGUCCACUAGAAACAGAGCCAAAGAAAACUGGGCAGAGGAAGUCUUCAACAGGAGCAAAAGAAACUCUACAUGGGCAAGAAAACACAGGCACCUACAUGGAAGUUCUGGAAAGUUAGGAGGCACAGAUCAGCAGAACCCACUAAACAGGGCAGAAAGCAGCAUUCCAAAGUCAGCGUUUCGACUUAAACUAGUGAAUUCCCUCAACUUGACUCUAUACCCCUUUUCUUCUCUGGUUCUGCAGAGUUUUUAGCAGAAAAUCUGCUGUAAACUUACCUUGCAAACUAUCAUGAACAUGGUGAAAAAGAAGAUGAGGUUGGCUUCAGAGAUGGGGAGCCAGUGAGUUUGUUGCAGAGUGAAGAGGAGUGUGCCAUACAGGCUAGCCUUUGUAGGGCUAGAAGAGAAAUAAGCAAGUUGUCUAGAAGGUUUGCAUAGUUUGUAUCCGGUCCUGAAUGGUUCUUUAAAUUCCAUUUUCAGUCUGACAGAGAAUUUGCAGUUAGCUACUUACAAGGACAUAUGAAGAAUUUCGUUUGUUUCUGGCUUCCAGACCCCACGCAACAGUUGCUCAAAAUUAGACAUCAAAGCAACACCAGAACCUGCAAAACAGUAGAAGUGAACAAAUAAAACUGCCGCAACAGAAGGGAGUUUUGCUCUCUCUUCCAGAUCCUCAAAAAGUAAGGAUAACCUAAGAGGAACAAAAAGAUCAAAACUUUCUUCCCAAAUGUAAAAGAAGUUACCCUAGAGUACCAGUUAACCACAUCCAUUAACCAGCUUAUCAAUCAGCACUGAGUGAUGUGUUUGCCUUAGCUUCACUCACAGAUUCUCCCAUCCCUCCCCACAGAGGCUGAGCGUGUCCCUGCUGCGUUAGAGUAUCUCAUGUUUCACCUUUGACCCAUCCAGUAGCCAUCAUAACGAACCACCCAUGGUGGUGAGCGUGGUGGACCCCGGCAGCAAUUUUGCGAACUCUGACCACCUCCUUCAUUGCCACAAAGACGAGCUUCAUAGGCAGAAAGCUAACACACUUGUAGAAGAGGUUCAUGGGACAGAAGAAUAUCAAAUACCUGGAACAAAACCACAAAGAGUUCAGGGACCCAUUUGUUUGUCCUCAUUUGGAAUGUACAGACAGGAUGAAGAAUAUUGUGUUUUUAGCCUGAAUUAUGUCAGGGAAAAGGAAACGCUGGUUCUGUGACACAAAAGCACAUAGAUCUCCUAUACACUGAGGAAAUUAAACCUUUGAGAAACCAUGGUUACUUUGUGCACAUUUCACUAACGUGACCAAAAACGAUCCCCAAACUUCAUUGCGUGCUACUCUGCUACUAUAUGUGGUGUCAGUGCAGUGCAUGCUGCUUUUGUGGUUUGGCCACAGUUCAGCUGUGGCAGCUAUGAAUAGAAAUGCUCUGCAGUUGGACUGUCUCCAGCCCAUAUAAUCAAAACAUUAGACAACUGGUCAGACAAACUGGAAACCAGAUCUAGGAAUACAAAAGACUUGAAGACUACUUCACACUACCUCUUCUUUCCCCCACUUAUUCCAAACAAGAUAAUAAAUAUGUGUCACAAACAGAAUCCCUCUCUUCACACAGGAUGAUUUCAUAUGCCGCCCGCAGUGUCUUAUGCUUAAGUGAGAUACAGUGUAAAAGACUUACCAGACUGCUGUGGCCAGGACAACACUGGAGUUAUUACUGAAAUAAUGAAGAGGUGAUUCUCCAAGUAACAGAUCAGCAAGUAUGUAACUUCCAAAGCAGUGGAGCAUCGCACAAAGCCAAGAGGCAAAAGGGCUUUUACGAGACAUCUCCACAGCUCCUGUGAAGCAAAUUGCAAAUGAGAAGACACAUUCAACAAAGAAGUUCCAAGACCCUCCAAGAGACUUUCCUUGCAUUUUCUCCAACAACGAAAUGUCAGAGAAAAGUGGUUGUAAAACAAAAUACAAACAUGUAUUCUGUGAAACCUGAACACAUACCAGAUAUUGUCAAAAAAUGACACAUGAUCAUAGCUUACAGGCCCCCCAUGAGAUUUCAUAUGAACUGAGUCAUUAAAAGUUUAUGAGUUGGUUAA